AGCGAACGUUUGCGGCGGGCCUAACACAUGCAAGUCGAACGCACUAGCAAUAGUGAGUGGCGCACGGGUGCGUAACACGUGGGUAAUCAACCCUUCAGCUUGGGAUAACGACUUGAAAGGGUCGCUAAUACCGGAUACGGCGCGGGAGGCUUCGGCUUCUCACGAGAAAGCCUCGCAAGGGGCACUGAAGGACGAGCCUGCGGCCCAUCAGCUAGUUGGUGAGGUAAGAGCUCACCAAGGCGAAGACGGGUAGCUGGUCUGAGAGGAUGAUCAGCCACACUGGAACUGAGACACGGUCCAGACUCCUACGGGAGGCAGCAGUGGGGAAUAUUGCGCAAUGGGCGAAAGCCUGACGCAGCCACGCCGCGUGAGCGAUGAAGGCCUUCGGGUCGUAAAGCUCUGUGGGGAGAGACGAAGAAAGCCGUGAAGAGCGGGCCUUGACGGUAUCUCCUUAGCAAGCACCGGCUAACUCCGUGCCAGCAGCCGCGGU
rnacentral:rRNA from 1 species